rnacentral:rRNA from 1 species
AAAUGAAUUGACGGGGGCCCGCACAAGCAGUGGAUUAUGUGGUUUAAUUCGAAGCAACGCGAAGAACCUUACCAGGGCUUGACAUCCCGCGCAUAGCCAGGAGACUGGUGAAAUCCUUCGGGACGCGGAGACAGGUGGUGCAUGGUUGUCGUCAGCUCGUGUCGUGAGAUGUUGGGUUAAGUCCCGCAACGAGCGCAACCCCUGUUGUUAGUUGCCAUCAUUUAGUUGGGCACUCUAGCAAGACUGCCGGCGACAAGUCGGAGGAAGGUGGGGACGACGUCAAAUCAUCAUGCCCCUUAUGUCCUGGGCUACACACGUAAUACAAUGGCUAAAACAGAGGGAAGCAAAGGAGCAAUCUGGAGCGAAUCCCCAAAUAUAGUCUCAGUUCGGAUUGUGGGCUGAAACCCGCCCGCAUGAAGUCGGAAUUGCUAGUAAUGGCAGGUCAGCAUACUGCCGUGAAUACGUUCCCGGGCCUUGUACACACCGCCCGU